AGAGGUUGUCUGGUAAUACUUAUUUUAAUAUUCUUUUCACUAUUUCAGCUAACAUAUAUGUAGAAAAUUAUUCAGUUGCAGUGUUUUAAUGACAUACUUCCUGUAAAGUUCCUGAACCAGUUGAUAUCAGAAUGAUAGAGAAAUGAUAGAUGGUACCAAUCUGUGAAUAUUAUGUCACUUUUUUUCUAUAGGUGUUCCUGAUCACAAUUAGAACUAUACACACACACUCAGGUGUUUCUCAAGAAAGGCCGACACCGCUUCACAAUCUUUCUUUUGUCAUUUGCAGGCGAUGAAUUCCAUACGUCAGUAGGAAUUUAGAAUCGUACAACCAGUCAGCAGCUACCCAUAAACUAGACCAGCCUAUUAAGUCGAGCGGGCAGAAGCUGUGAUUCCCAGUGUAACACCGCAGAAUGACGGCUAGUUUUCGGAUUACAUUUCUGUGCAGAAGGAUUAAAAAACUACACCAGACUGGUGGCCAUGACAGAUGUCAGUGGGAAAUUUAAACAUGGACUAGAUACUUUGAUGUGUAGCAAAAAAGUUCAUCGUUGAUGGUGGUGUUUUUCUGUGAUAUAUUGACUGGGAUAGUAUUACUCUUCAGAAAUACAGAGCUGUCAAUGC